AGGGUUUGAUUAUGGCUCAGAACGUACGCUGGCGGCACGCCUAACACAUGCAAGUCGAACGAAGUAGCAAUACUUAGUGGCAGACGGGUGAGUAACAUGUAGGUAUCUGCCCUUUGGCCUGGGAUAACACGAGGAAACUUGUGCUAAUACCGGAUAAGUCUUUACGGAGAAAGCUUUAUGCACCAUUGGAUGAGCCUGCACUUGAUUAGUUUGUUGGUGGGGUAAUGGCCUACCAAGACUGUGAUCAAUAGCUGAUUUGAGAGGAUGAUCAGCCACAUUGGGACUGAGACACGGCCCAAACUCCUACGGGAGGCAGCAGUGGGGAAUCUUGCACAAUGGAGGAAACUCUGAUGCAGCGAUGCCGCGUGAGUGAAGAAGGCCCUUGGGUUGUAAAGCUCUUUCGUCGGGGAAGAAAAUGACUGUACCCGAAUAAGAAGGUCCGGCUAACUUCGUGCCAGCAGCCGCGGUAAUAC
rnacentral:rRNA from 1 species